AACGUAGGAGGCAAGCGUUAUCCGGAGUUACUGGGCGUAAAGGUGCGUAGGCGGGUCUUUAAGUCAGGGGUGAAAUCCUGGAGCUCAACUCCAGAACUGCCUUUGAUACUGAGGAUCUUGAGUUCGGGAGAGGUGAGUGGAACUGCGAGUGUAGAGGUGAAAUUCGUAGAUAUUCGCAAGAACACCAGUGGCGAAGGCGGCUCACUGGCCCGGCACUGACGCUGAGGUGCGAAAGCGUGGGGAGCAAACAGG
rnacentral:rRNA from 1 species